CGAACGGGUGAGUAACACGUGGGCAACCUGCCCAAAAGAGGGGGAUAACACUUGGAAACAGGUGCUAAUACCGCAUAACCAUAGGUUACCGCAUGGUAGCUAUGUAAAAGGUGGCUAUGCUACCGCUUUUGGAUGGGCCCGCGGCGCAUUAGCUAGUUGGUGGGGUAAAGGCUUACCAAGGCAAUGAUGCGUAGCCGAACUGAGAGGUUGAUCGGCCACAUUGGGACUGAGACACGGCCCAAACUCCUACGGAAGGCAGCAG
rnacentral:rRNA from 1 species